GCUCGUAGGCGGUUUGUCGCGUCUGCUGUGAAAUCCCGAGGCUCAACCUCGGGUCUGCAGUGGGUACGGGCAGACUAGAGUGCGGUAGGGGAGAUUGGAAUUCCUGGUGUAGCGGUGGAAUGCGCAGAUAUCAGGAGGAACACCGAUGGCGAAGGCAGAUCUCUGGGCCGUAACUGACGCUGAGGAGCGAAAGCAUGGGGAGCGAACAGGAUUAGAUACCCUGGUAGUCCAUGCCGUAAACGUUGGGAACUAGAUGUGGGGACCAUUCCACGGUCUCCGUGUCGCAGCUAACGCAUUAAGUUCCCCGCCUGGGGAGUACGGCCGCAAGGCUAAAACUCAAAGGAAUUGACGGGGGCCCGCACAAGCGGCGGAGCAUGCGGAUUAAUUCGAUGCAACGCGAAGAACCUUACCAAGGCUUGACAUAUACCGGAAACAUGCAGAGAUGUGUGCCCCGCAAGGUCGGUAUACAGGUGGUGCAUGGUUGUCGUCAGCUCGUGUCGUGAGAUGUUGGGUUAAGUCCCGCAACGAGCGCAACCCUCGUUCUAUGUUGCCAGCACGUAAUGGUGGGAACUCAUAGGAGACUGCCGGGGUCAACUCGGAGGAAGGUGGGGAUGACGUCAAAUCAUCAUGCCCCUUAUGUCUUGGGCUUCACGCAUGCUACAAUGGCCGGUACAAAGGGCUGCGAUACCGUAAGGUGGAGCGAAUCCCAAAAAGCCGGUCUCAGUUCGGAUUGAGGUCUGCAACUCGACCUCAUGAAGUCGGAGUCGCUAGUAAUCGCAGAUCAGCAAC
rnacentral:rRNA from 1 species